UACGGAGGAUCCAAGCGUUAUCCGGAUUCAUUGGGUUUAAAGGGUGCGUAGGCGGAAUGAUAAGUCAGCGGUGAAAUCCCUCGGCUUAACCGAGGAACUGCCGUUGAUACUGUCAAUCUUGAGUACAUUUGAUGUGGGCGGAAUGUGUCAUGUAGCGGUGAAAUGCUUUAGAUAUGACACAGAACACCGAUUGCGAAGGCAGCUCACAAAAACUGUAAACUGACGCUGAGGCACGAAAAGCGUGGGUAUCAAAACAGGA
rnacentral:rRNA from 1 species